rfam:Ardenticatena maritima DNA, contig: NODE_8, strain: 110S.
AACUGCAUACGGUUUUUGCCGUAGACAGCAGGUGCCCUUUGGGCUGAAAGCAUUGCGCCUGCCGAGGCAAAGGAACGAAGACCUGAUUUUGUGGGGCUUUUCACGCCUUUGCAUCGGUAUGCGCGGUGCGAAGGCGUUUUUGUUUUACAA